GUUUAAAAUUAGUAUAAAUAAAAACAUAUAUAUAUAUGUCUGUCCAUACAGUGUGCUGUUCUAUGGAGCCUAAUACAUGAGCUAACAAAACACGCAACAUUACAAUGAGCUGAAGAUGCAAAUGCCAAGAACCAUCAGCCAAAUUAGGGGGUGAACCUCUUACAGAUAUCUAAGGAUCCCAACUAAAGUAAAUUACAUUAAAGUAACACUCCAAGUACCAUAACCACUACAGCUUGCUCCUCCCUGUCAUAAGCAGUGAAACAGUUUUUUAAAAUAGUUUGACUUCUUACCUAGGGUACACCGGGCACUGUCCGCUAUAAAUGCCACAGAGUCAGAUGUUCCUAAGCAGGGACUUACAUUAGCUCUCCUGAGCUAAGCCUUGCAGCUUAUUGGCUGAGGAUAGAUAAGAACCAUUUAAAAAGGAUUUGACUACUUAUGGGGAGGUGUAAUGCGUAUGGUGCUCUGAGUGUUUCUUAAAUAAAAGUUGCAUUUUAUUUAAAUACAUCAUUUUCUGUAGUUGGUAUCUUCUUU